UUGAAAGGUUGAGGAUUUGCUUGAACCUUGCUACGCCAACAGAAAUUAUAUUGAAACAAAUGAUCCUAUCAAAACUAGGAGGUAUUAUGAGUUUAUCUUAACUGAUACAGGAUCCAUUACAAUUGAACAUCACUUAAACGAUGUUGCUUAUCAUGGCAUUAAAUAUUCAAAAUUUACAACAAACAAAAUCAUCAAUUUGAAUGGAAGGUCAACCAUCUUCACGCCAACAAUUAUUUAUCCAAACAACAUAGGCCUCAAACCUCCAAUUAUUAUAACUAUGAAGCAGCCUGGUACAACUUCCUGUAUGUACGACCCAAUUCCCAUAUCUGGUUCGUCAAAUACGACGAACAAAUGGCUAAAUCCACAAUUCCACGAUGGUUUUACAAUUGGUGGAUUAAAUUCGGAGGCAAUGAGCUAACAAUGCCCAGAAGUUUCCAAACCCAUUAUGAAAGAUUCCAGAGGCAACAAGAAAUUUCUACCCUAACGGAUCAUAUCAAAUUAUGCAAAUAUUAUAUUGCUAAAAGAAUUUCUUAUAUUAUCAGCUGGUCCUUUGAUAUAGCUGAAAUAAGCAGAAUCAAGUAUUUUGUUAAAAUCAUCAAAGUUAAAGGGUGGACUCCAAUAACUAAAAAUCCAAGACCACCCGCUAGCAGGAUAGGAUCCACAGAAUCCCGGGCAGAAUUAAAGAAGAAGCUCUUAGAAGCUUUGAAUAAUAUUGAUGACACUGAUCCAGCAGAAUUGCUAAAGACAAUGGAGACACUAUGGACCCCCAAGGUAUGGCCCCAGGCAUAUCUCCAUUAUCGAGAAGAUUAAAAAGUUGCUUGCCCCUUCGAAAAAGCAGGAGGCAAUCUGACAAGACCUCUUUUCAAGAAAGCAGAGGACAGUUGGAAGGCCUGAUUAUCUUUUUUCAUAAAUGACUCAAAUGCACUAGAAAGUUUUUUCCUUUAUAGGUAAAGGUAUUGAGAAAAAAAGUACACACUAGAGAGAAGUAUAAAAUUACAGGCAACCAGGCUGCUUCCCUUCAGGAAUAGGUUAGUUUUCAUAUUAUUCCUUCUAAGUGGACCGGUUCCUAUGAUUAGGGUUAAACUUGUAGUAGAGAUUGGAGACUUUUCUCCUUAUCUUCUUUUCACAUUUGACACAACUUAAUUUUGAUGCUCUAUGGAUUUGCUGGUGAAACUCGUUCACAUUUUAAACCACUGAAUAUCGGUGCUCUCCUCUUUAUCUAUACACUGCAACCAUGACACAUAUUAAAUCCAUACCAAAAUUCCAUUGCUCUAGAUCAUGUGAUCCAGUUAUCACACUAAUUGAUACGCUAUAUGUUGAUUUGCAAAACUGAUCUAAAGGGGACACAUAACAUGUGCACAUGAACAGAGUUUUGAGGUGACCACUGGAAAUCCUCUCAAACUCUCAGUGACAGUUUUUAAAGAGCAGAAACAGCAUUUAGAUAUGAGGAGACAGUGGCAUCACAAAUAUUUCAGAGUUUUCUAUAUAUGCACUUUAUAUUUUCAAAAAUAAGAAUGAAAAUUAUAUACACUCUUUUAGGAAUCAGAGGUUCAUAUCAUGGUAGGCCACUAUAAUUCUCUUUAUUAUUGAUGGACUGCUGACUUUCUUCUAUAUACAGCACAGUUAGGGUGGCUCAAAAAUUUUAGCUAUAGCAUUUUUCAUUAACUUCAAAAGAAAAAGGAAAAGAAAUGAGAAAAGACGAGUGCUAAAUGGCGGCACCUUAAAAGGAGAAGAGUUGUAAUGCAAGAAGUACUGAUAGGAGGAAAACAAGAUCAAUUAUUUGAUAUUAUUCCAAGCAAGCUUUAGAGGAAAACUAAUAAGAGCGUAAGCAAGAGUUAUAUCACUUCUAUAAUGAC